UUGAACGCUGGCGGCAUGCUUUACACAUGCAAGUCGAACGGCAGCACGGGGGCAACCCUGGUGGCGAGUGGCGAACGGGUGAGUAAUACAUCGGAACGUACCCAGUUGUGGGGGAUAGCCCGGCGAAAGCCGGAUUAAUACCGCAUAAGUCCUGAGGGAGAAAGCGGGGGACCUUCGGGCCUCGCGCGAUUGGAGCGGCUGAUGUCGGAUUAGCUGGUUGGUGGGGUAAAGGCCUACCAAGGCGACGAUCCGUAGCUGGUCUGAGAGGAUGAUCAGCCACACUGGGACUGAGACACGGCCCAGACUCCUACGGGAGGCAGCAGUGGGGAAUUUUGGACAAUGGGCGCAAGCCUGAUCCAGCCAUGCCGCGUGAGUGAAGAAGGCCUUCGGGUUGUAAAGCUCUUUCAGACGGAAAGAAAUCGGGCGGGUGAAUAGCCUGCCUGGAUGACGGUACUGUCAGAAGAAGCACCGGCUAACUACGU
rnacentral:rRNA from 1 species